UUCAGGACCCUGAGAUCAUGACACAAGCCGAAAUGGAGUCGGACGCUUAACUGAGGCGCCCCGUCUCUUAAUAUUUCUAAUGUCCCGCUGAGUCAUCAGCAUAAUCAGCACGUCUCCCUUGAAUGUUAAACACUGCUAUGAUAAUCUUAAGUUGUAUAAAUACAUGUUCAUUAUUUUUGCCCGCAGUAAAGGAAUAAUAAACCGUUGUUACAGAUGACUUAAUGAUAUAAGCCUAAUAUUAAUGUUUAUUGUUUUAUAAUGUAUUUUUCCUUACAGUAACCUAGAUUCACAAAGGCAGUUGCAGAACCAGGUAGCAGAAGGAAUCGGUUGGUGGAGUUCCUUGUCCCUGUAGCCGUUCAACAAAUGAAGUGUCGCUAGGGCUUCCGUGAAUGGCACCAGAGAUGGUUAAAAGCAAAACCACAUAGGCGAGAAAGGCCACCUGAUACGGAACUUGCAUUUGUUCCUUAUAAAGAAUCCUCGGGAAAGAAUUCUCUACCGAGGUGUUUUUUUUUUCUAUUCCCGCCCAAACAUGACAGAAGUUGUGAAUAUGAGAGAAGCUCAUAGAGCUGUUCAGGGAUGGCUUAGGGCCAGUUACAAGUUCACGUGGGUAGCCUAGGGUGCCAUGUCUGUCCCCAGGGAGUUUCCAGUUUAGGGAAGCAGGUGUUCGGGUGGCUGGCUGGUGGAAGGUUUUAAGUGGAUCUGAGCUCACGGGCAUCUUUCAGCCUCUCUGAGCCUUCCCUGACCCCUGCGAAGCAGCAUGAGAAGGAGGGACCCCAGAGUUUGAAUUUGAAGGGAGGGAACGGAUUGGAAAGUCAGCUGCAGAGGUAACAUGAGGCCCGUCUGGAAUUCAUCGUGCGAACUGUCAAAGAAGAUUGACUCUAAGAUCUAACUGUUUAGUGUGGAGCAGAAAAAUGGGUAUGGAUUUGCUAGUACCUGAAGCUGAAAUGCAACCCCAUCCCCACUCUUCUAGUUUUUAAAGAUUUAUUUAUUGUGGAGAACAAGGGAGCGUGAACCAGCGCUGAGAGGGGAGAGCGGGCAGAGAAGGGGAGAGAAUCUUAAGCAGACUCAGCUCCUAGCAGCACAGAGUCCGACUCUGGGCUGGAUCUCACGACCCUGACAUCAUGACCUGAGCCUAAAUAAGAGUCAGACACUCAACCACGGAGCCCCCCCAGGUGUCCCAGCCCACUGUCGUAGUUUUUAAAACCUUGCCGCUCCACUUGCUGGAUUUUAAGAAACAGAGCAAGUCGUUAUUUUGCCGCCAUUCUUAAGUUGUUCUGUAACUUCUCUGACCUGUUGUCUCAAAAACAUGUGACCAGUCAAAAUACUAUUUUCUUCUUGUUUGGAGAGUUCUGUAGUAACCAGGAAAGGAAUGGAAGCUCCUUUGGAAAUGCAUGCUGGUGACACGAUUAGGCCCGGCCCCGUGAUUAGGCCCGGCCCCGUUUCUCGGACGGUAAGGAGUGUGUCACGGCGAGACCCCGAAUGAUGGGAGAGAUGGCGACGUUCUGACUUUUGCUCUGUGAAUCUCCAAACAGAAAACUUUUAGACGUGGGUUAAUUUUGUAGGAGGGAAUGUACAAAGCAGGGAAGGGCCAGGCUGGGGGAGCUGCUUUGGUGGAGAAACAACUUGGUGCCUCCCCAAGCCUUGGCCUCCAGUGUGGUCAGAGGGAUGGGCGGGCCAGCCAGUGGGGAAGGCCUCGGGCUGUUGGGUGGGAAGCGACCCACCUAGUUUUACUGGUGCUGGAGGGAAUGGCUUUGUGUUUUGAGUAGAGAGCAGGUCAUUAGAUGUUGGCUUCUGCUAUUAGCAUUCAUAUUUUAAAGCAAAACUAGAAAGUAGAGGGGAAAAAAGUGUAAGCCUAGUGGUUCUCCACCAAGAGUGAUUUUUGCCUCCCGAGGCACAUCUGGGAAUGUCAGGAGACCAUUUUGAUCGUCACAGCUGAGGGUGGGGUAUCCUGCUGGCAUCUAGUGGGUAGAGACUGGGGCUGCUCAGCCUCUUACCUGCACAGGGCAGACCCCCCAUGGCCAAGAACCAUGCAGCCCCAAAUGCCAGUAGUGCCGAGGGCAAUAAAUCCUGCAGUCAUCCCACACAGUUUGCUAUCUUUCCGUAUCUUUUUCGUUUGUUGUGUCCCUAUACAUAGUAGUGUCCAUGGUUUUGUAGAACAAACACUAUAUCCUAAUGACGGGCAUGACUAGUAACCUCAGGGUCACUGAAUGCCUUCCAGACUUUGCCGUCAUCUUGUUUCUUUACUACAAAUAAUCUAAUUUACUGCUCUGGGGAAUGACCUAUAAUGCACAGUUUUGUGCAUUUGUCUUUUUCUGAAUUGCCAAUUAUUUCUUGAAGGGAAGAUUGACAAGUGCUGGUAUUUUUCUAAGGGGUGGACUUUUAAAUGGUUCUUGGCCAGUACUUCCACAUUGCUCUCCAAAGGCCUGGUACUCAUUUCAGGGUGUGAUCAGCAGUGAAUGGACGUCCUGUUUGCUUGGGUUCUUGCCAGCAUAAAGCGUCUAUGUUUAGGGGAGAAAAGAACCUUUUCAAAAAUUUUUGCUAAUUCAGUAGGCAAAAAGUGGUAUUUCUUUUUGUCCUUUACGGUGUUCUUUUUGGUGAGAAAUGUGGUUUCUCCCAAAGCCCAUGAGAGCGUCACUAUCUAUCCUCAUGGGUUUUGGACACUAUUCUACAGCCAUCGAUGUCUAUUUAAUAAGGUUAUUAGGACAAAUUCUAAAUCAGUGGAAUAAUACCUGUGUUGACUGCAAGGAAAUUUAUUAAGAAAAUAUCAUCGUUUCAACUUUCAGGACUUUUUGAAGAAUCAGAGUCAUUUGAAGCCUCAUGGAAGAUUUUGUCAAAUUCUAAGAAAGUAAAAUAGUUCUUAAUGAAAUGAUGAAAGGAUGAAGGUCAAAAUAA